rnacentral:rRNA from 1 species
GGACGAACGCUGGCGGCGUGCUUAACACAUGCAAGUCGAACGAUGAAGCUGGAGCUUGCUCCGGCGGAUUAGUGGCGAACGGGUGAGUAACACGUGAGCAAUCUGCCCUUGACUCUGGGAUAACUGCGGGAAACUGUAGCUAAUACCGGAUACGACACCUUCGGGCAUCCGAUGGGUGUGGAAAGAAUUUCGGUCAAGGAUGAGCUCGCGGCCUAUCAGCUAGUUGGUGAGGUAAUGGCUCACCAAGGCGACGACGGGUAGCCGGCCUGAGAGGGUGACCGGCCACACUGGGACUGAGACACGGCCCAGACUCCUACGGGAGGCAGCAGUGGGGAAUAUUGCACAAUGGGCGCAAGCCUGAUGCAGCAACGCCGCGUGAGGGACGAAGGCCUUCGGGUUGUAAACCUCUUUUAGCAGGGAAGAAGCGAAAGUGACGGUACCUGCAGAAAAAGCACCGGCUAACUACGUGCCAGCAGCCGCGGUAAUACGUAGGGUGCAAGCGUUGUCCGGAAUUAUUGGGCGUAAAGAGCUCGUAGGCGGUUUGUCGCGUCUGCUGUGAAAAUCCGGGGCUCAACCUCGGACUUGCAGUGGGUACGGGCAGGCUAGAGUGCGGUAGGGGAGACGGGAAUUCCUGGUGUAGCGGUGGAAUGCGCAGAUAUCAGGAGGAACACCGAUGGCGAAGGCACGUCUCUGGGCCGUAACUGACGCUGAGGAGCGAAAAGCGUGGGGAGCGAACAGGAUUAGAUACCCUGGUAGUCCACGCCGUAAACGGUGGGUGCUAGCUGUGGGCCACAUUCCACGUGGUCCGUGACGAAGUUAACACAUUAAGCACCCCGCCUGGGGAGUACGGCCGCAAGGCUAAAACUCAAAGGAAUUGACGGGGGCCCGCACAAGCGGCGGAGCAUGCGGAUUAAUUCGAUGCAACGCGAAGAACCUUACCAAGGCUUGACAUAUAGAGGAAAAGUGCAGAAAUGUACUCCCCGCAAGGUCUCUAUACAGGUGGUGCAUGGUUGUCGUCAGCUCGUGUCGUGAGAUGUUGGGUUAAGUCCCGCAACGAGCGCAACCCUCGUCCUAUGUUGCCAGCACGUAAUGGUGGGAACUCAUGGGAUACUGCCGGGGUCAACUCGGAGGAAGGUGGGGAUGACGUCAAAUCAUCAUGCCCCUUAUGUCUUGGGCUUCACGCAUGCUACAAUGGCCGGUACAGAGGGCUGCAAUACCGUAAGGUGGAGCGAAUCCCAAAAAGCCGGUCUCAGUUCGGAUUGAGGUCUGCAACUCGACCUCAUGAAGUCGGAGUCGCUAGUAAUCGUAGAUCAGCAACGCUACGGUGAAUACGUUCCCGGGCCUUGUACACACCGCCCGUCAAGUCACGAAAGUCGGUAACACCCGAAGCCGGUGGCCUAACCGUAAGGAGGGAGCCGUCGAAGGUGGGAUUGGUGAUUGGG